UACGUAGGGAGCAAGCGUUGUCCGGAUUUAUUGGGCGUAAAGAGCGUGUAGGCGGCCAGACAGGUCCGUUGUGAAAACUAGAGGCUUAACCUCUAGACGUCGAUGGAAACCGUUUGGCUAGAGUCCGGAAGAGGAGAAUGGAAUUCCUGGUGUAGCGGUGAAAUGCGCAGAUAUCAGGAAGAACACCCGUGGCUAAGGCGGUUCUCUAGUACGGUACUGACGCUGAGACGCGAAAGCGUGGGGAGCGAACAGG
rnacentral:rRNA from 1 species